GACGUAGGAGGCGAGCGUUGUCCGGAAUCAUUGGGCGUAAAGAGCGUGUAGGCGGUUCGGUAAGUCGGCUGUGAAAGUCCAGGGCUCAACCCUGGGAUGCCGGUCGAUACUGCCGGACUAGAGUUCGGAAGAGGCGAGUGGAAUUCCCGGUGUAGCGGUGAAAUGCGCAGAUAUCGGGAGGAACACCUAUGGCGAAGGCAGCUCGCUGGGACGUUACUGACGCUGAGACGCGAAAGCGUGGGGAGCAAACAGG
rnacentral:rRNA from 1 species